GCGGAUGUGGCGGAAUUGGCAGACGCGCAGGUCUCAGAAGCCUGUGGCCGUGAGGUCGUGGAGGUUCGAUCCCUCUCAUCCGCA
rnacentral:tRNA from 1 species